CCAAUCAUAUCAACUGGCUACCUGUCCUCCGAUGAGGAUGUAGUGUCGAUCAGGAACGGUCUCAAGUUGUCAAGGAAGCUUGGGUCAAGCGAGCAAUUCAAGAAA
rnacentral:ribozyme from 1 species